GAAGAAGUAAGAUCGGAGUAACAAGAGACACAAGAAAUGGAUAGAAAGGAAGAAUAUAUGGAUACAACAGAGAAACCUGAUUAUGACAGUUAUCCAGCG